rnacentral:rRNA from 1 species
ACGGCUGCUCAGUAACACGUAGUCAACCUAACCUAUGGACGGGAAUAACCUCGGGAAACUGAGAAUAAUGCCCGAUAGAACACUAUACCUGGAAUGGUUUGUGUUCCAAAUGAUUUAUCGCCGUAGGAUGGGACUGCGGCCUAUCAGUUUGUUGGUGAGGUAAUGGCCCACCAAGACUAUUACAGGUACGGGCUCUGAGAGGAGUAGCCCGGAGAUGGGUACUGAGACACGGACCCAGGCCCUAUGGGGCGCAGCAGGCGAGAAAACUUUGCAAUGUGCGAAAGCACGACAAGGUUAAUCCGAGUGGUUUCUGCUAAAGGAACCUUUUGUUAGUCCUAGAAACACUAACGAAUAAGGGGUGGGCAAGUUCUGGUGUCAGCCGCCGCGGUAAAACCAGCACCUCAAGUGGUCAGGAUGAUUAUUGGGCCUAAAGCAUCCGUAGCCGGCUCCGUAGGUUUUCGGUUAAAUCUGUACGCUCAACGUACAGGCUGCCGGGAAUACUGCAGAGCUAGGGAGUGGGAGAGGUAGACGGUACUCGGGAGGAAGUGGUAAAAUGCUUUGAUCUCUCGAUGACCACCUGUGGCGAAGGCGGUCUACCAGAACACGUCCGACGGUGAGGGAUGAAAGCUGGGGGAGCAAACCGGAUUAGAUACCCGGGUAGUCCCAGCUGUAAACUAUGCAAACUCAGUGAUGCAUUGGCUUGUGGCCAAUGCGGUAUUGCAGGGAAGCCGUUAAGUUUGCCGCCUGGGAAGUACGUACGCAAGUAUGAAACUUAAAGGAAUUGGCGGGGGAGCAG